rnacentral:rRNA from 1 species
GGAGUUAGCCGGUGCUUCUUCUGCGAGUAACGUCACAGAUGUAAGGUAUUAACUUACACCCUUUCCUCCUCGCUGAAAGUGCUUUACAACCCGAAGGCCUUCUUCACACACGCGGCAUGGCUGCAUCAGGGUUUCCCCCAUUGUGCAAUAUUCCCCACUGCUGCCUCCCGUAGGAGUCUGGGCCGUGUCUCAGUCCCAGUGUGGCUGAUCAUCCUCUCAGACCAGCUAGGGAUCGUCGCCUAGGUGAGCCUUUACCUCACCUACUAGCUAAUCCCACCUGGGCUUAUCCAUCAGCGCAAGGCCCGAAGGUCCCCUGCUUUCCCCCGUAGGGCGUAUGCGGUAUUAGCAGUCGUUUCCAACUGUUAUCCCCCACAAAUGGGCAAAUUCCCAGGCAUUACUCACCCGUCCGCCGCUCGUCAUCUUCAAAAGCAAGCUUUUGAAAUGUUACCGCUCGACUUGCAUGUGUUAGGCCUGCCGCCAGCGUUCAAUCUGAGCCAGGAAUCAAACUCUGA